CGAGUUCCUAAUCAAACAAAAUAGUUACAUAGGUUUAAAAAUAAAUAAUAAUACAUAAUAUACAGGUACAAUACAAAUAAAUACAAACAAAACUUUGAAUUACUUACAAAAAAAAAAAUCAACGAGUACAAUUUACAAACCCAUUGCGCGGAAUUAUCGAUUUUUACAGCCAUUGAAAACACUCCCGUACUGCGCACUCGUACGCCAGCGCGUGAUUAGCCUGUCCCGAUCCGGGAUAGGAGAUUCCGGGAAAAUCCGGAGAGAAUUCAAAUGCGGCGUGGUUUACGCGGCGAACACGUGCGCGGUUUUUUUUUUUACCGAUCGGGUCGGCGUAUCGCGCGGGCCACUGCGAGACGCCUACUGUGCACGGCACGGCUCGCGAAAACCGGCGUUUCCGAAAAUUGUACGGCCGCAGCCGUACUCGGGGGCAUUUUUCCCGCCGGUUUCCCGUUCACGUAGUACGCCAGACACCCAGUGAGAUUUCGCGUGUCGUGCGUCCGUUAGAAGCCGGACGGAGAAACGUUCGCGGGACCGGGAGAUGUCGCCGCGAAACGCCACUGCGGGUGUGUGACCGGGGAAAACACGCGGUCCGCGCUUGACGCUAUUUUUCUUUUGGCGAGGGGGAGGUAAUGGGGGGGGGAGGGGAGCCGUGGAAAACCAGUGGAUUUAUUCGCCGUAUUCACCGUGCGGGGUGGAAGUGGCACCGCGGGUCCGGGCCGGAGCCGCGCAAUCGGAGGGCACGCAGAAAAUGCGACCGAAACACGCCGGGACGCUAGGGACGCGGAAACACCGGAAAAUGACGGGGUUCGGUUGGAGACGAGAUACGUACAGACGUAAUCAUAUAGGCGGCGAGAAAACAUUUUAACGAAAAUCAUAUCAAGUCCCCCCCCUCUUAUAGCGGAUUUUGCGUUUUGGUUCACGCGCGCGCGCACACAAAGAAAAUAUCAUCGUGAAUUUAAAAUAAUAGCAACAACGUGUUUGGUAUAUUUUGAGUUUAUUAUUAUUUUUUUUUUUCGUUUACCAUUGUUAUUUUUAUAUUAAUAUUACAAUAAAAAAAUUAGGAACUGAUAGAUUUCUUUGUUUCUUUUCUUUUUUUUUUCUUCUUUAAAAACUCGUCGUUUUUACAACAGUUACAAUAAUAUAAUAUGUAUAAAUAUAAUAUAAUAUAUGCAUAUAUAUAUAUAUAUAUAUAUAUAAUAUAUAUGGUAAGUAUACACAUAUUAUAUAUGUAUAUAUAUAUAUAUAUAUAUAAAAAAAAAAAUGUACAGCAAAAAGGGAAUUUUAUUUAAAAAUUUUUUUUUUUUAGCGUAUCUAAAAUUCAUUAUACACAUAAAUAUACACAACUACACACGAGCUCUACAAAGAGAGGGGACGAUAUAGUGGCAGGGGGUAAGCUUAAUAUCUGAUAACAACAAUAAUAAUAUUUAGGUAUAUGGGAAAGAUAUUUAUAGGUAUACAAUAAUAAUAAUAAUAAUAAUAAUAUAGAUGUGCUCGAAGGAAUAAUUAUACAAAAAAAAAAAAAUUCUACUUUUCAACGAGAAUAUAACAGCGCAAUAAUUUACAUUAAUACAAAAUAAUAAUAAUAAUAAUAAUAAUAAUAAUAAAAUAACUAUAUUAUAUAAUAUUAUAAAAUUUAAAAACGCAUAAAUUUCAAAUUUCCAACUUUACACAAUUAUUUGUUUUAUACCUAUAUAUAUAAAUAAAUAUAUAUUAUAUUUAUAUAUAUAUAUAAAUCGGAAAUAAAAAAAAAACAAUUCGUUUAAAUUUUUUAUUUUAUAUUUAAAUUUUUUUUUUUUUCUAAAAAAACGUAAUAUUCACAAUAUUAAAAUAUUAAAUUCCCUCGUAUCGAUACAGGUAAAAAUCGAUUUUUUUUUUUUUUUUUAAUUAUUAUUAUUACUAUUUUCGAGUGAACUGUUCGGUAAGCUUCGGGGUAAUAAACGGUGAUUUUCGUUUUCUUUUUGAGGAGAGGGGGGGAAGGGGCAGUGGCUGGAGGUGUAACGGAUACUGUAUAUGUAUGACAACAGUGCACACACUACAGGUGCGUAUUCUACUUAUAUAAACGUAGGAAACACAAUGAUAAAAAAAAAAAAAACUGUUAAAAACAACGAUUUAAAAAAAAAAUUAUAAACAAAAUUCGUAUAUACCCGUACGUGCGUAUUACGACGGGGUUGUGUUGCGGUGUACGGAUAGGGUUUAGGCGAUAAUAAACUCAUAUGUAUACAUACACAAUUUACAUAAAUCGCACGGACACACGCGGGCCCGAUGGGUAUGCGCGCCAACAGAUCCGGGGGGGGGGAGGUUUGGCGGACUCGCGGUUCGCUUAGGAGUUGGGGCGGAGUGGGAAGCGGGGAGGGUGGCGGGGUUUGGAGGAAGGAGGCGCGAAAAACAAAACCGUAUCGCCGGGUCCAGGCGCGUACACAGUAAAAUGCGUGUGCGUGUACGUAACACGUAGGCGAUCGGACGAAAUUUCCGAAAAAUAAUAUUACACUAGUAUAUGUGUGCUCGGGUGUGGUUUUCCCACUCCCCGCACCCCGUUCGCCAACCACCGUUCCCCCCGAAAUGUCACGAAAAUUAUGUACCGACGGCGGUGAAAAAAACCAAAAAUACACACACACACACACACACACAAACACACAAACACACACACACACGCACACACAUACAUACAUGCACGAGAAUCAAAACGGAUUUCGCGCGUGCGCGUCCCGUAUACGAGGGAGUGAAUACUUCCCGCGAAGUAACACGCCGGACAAAUAUUGAAAAAGAGGUGGGGAAAACGCACACGCACAAAUGCACAACAAAUAUUAUUUUUUUUUUUGUAAAAACGAUGAGUGUCUCGUAAUAGGUAAUAGUAAUAAUAUUAUUAUUGUUAUUUUAUAGUGUGUUACGUCUGGUGGAGGGCGACCCGUCGCCGUGAUAGCUGCGCGGCCAAAAUAUAAAAUCGUAUUGAAAAUUAUAAAAAAAAAAAAAAAAAAACUAAACAAAUUUUGUUUUCAUUUAUUAUUAUCAUUAUUACUAUUUUUUUUUUAAAAAUUUUAUUUUUAUUUUUUUAAAUUAAAUUUUGCUGUGACUAUAAAUUUUUGUUUUGCUUUUGUUGCGGCGCUCGUCGUGUAGAAAUAAAUAAUCCCGGGGCCUAGUGAUUGGGCUGCUGCGCCGGGCUCCUCCGCAUAUCGUCGCAAUACUCUACCGAGAGAGUGGUAGGUACGUCACGUGUGUACGGCAAUACAAUGUUUUCGACGGGUGUAUCCGAUGAGCGUGUUGAGCGGGCGCGUUGAUGACGAUGACAGUAUAAAUAUCGUGUAAACGGGGUUUUGGUCUCCGGUGAGGGAGGAGGGGGGGAGGAAUAGAAUAAUAAUAAAUAAACGGUCGUCCGCGUGUAGAACGUAAUGAUGAUGUUUCGAAUGUCGGCAGUCGUUUCACAAUCAUACGAUCAGUAGGUUCUCAUCUGGGCCGAUUCCGUCGCCGGCGGAUCGCGUCGACUGUUC